UUUUUUUUUAUAUAUACCUUUUCAUUUCUUUUGUAUGUAGGGGGAAUGUGAUAGUAAGAGGGUAGGAACGAGAGGACAGACACGCUUUAUGAAAUGCCCUCAAAUUUAAUAUUCAUAAAACAAAUGUUUGGAUGAAGAUAGUGUCACUGUGUUGUGAACACUCCUGUACAAUACAGCGGGUUUUGGUGGGAUGACCCAAGAAUAAAAAUCCUCCUGGCGCCCAUAACCUAUUAGUUAAGGUUAAUUUUAGUUUAUAAGUUUAGUUAAUUAGUUAAUGCAUGUUAGUAUUUACUUAGCUUAAGGUUUGUCAUAAAUAUUUCAAAAUGUG